UACGUAGGGGGCGAGCGUUGUCCGGAAUCAUUGGGCGUAAAGAGCGUGUAGGCGGCUUGGCAAGUCUGACGUGAAAGCCCGCGGCUCAACCGCGGAUUGUCGUUGGAAACUGCCUCGCUAGAGUCCGGAAGAGGAGAGCGGAAUUCCUGGUGUAGCGGUGGAAUGCGCAGAUAUCAGGAAGAACACCAGUGGCGAAGGCGGCUACCUGGGCCAGUUCUGACGCUGAGGCGCGAAAGCGUGGGGAGCAAACAGG
rnacentral:rRNA from 1 species